AAAUCCCACGGCUCAACCGUGGAACUGCUCGGUAGACUGCACGUCUUGAACCCGACAGGGGCCGUCGGAACGAUAGGUGGAGCGGUGAAAUGCUUAGAUAUCUAUCGGAACGCCAAUGGCGAAGGCAGGCGGCUGGGUCGGUGUUGACGCUCAGGCACGAAAGCGUGGGUAGCGAACGGGAUUAGAUACCCCGGUAGUCCACGCCGUAAACGAUGGGCACUAGGUCGGGGAGGUUUUGACGCCAUCCCGGCCGAAGCUAAUGUGUUAAGUGCGCCGCCUGGGGAGUACGGUCGCAAGGCUAAAACUCAAAGGAAUUGACGGGGACUCACACAAGCGGUGGAGCAUGUGGCUUAAUUCGAAGCAACGCGAAGAACCUUAUCCUGGGUUUGACAUGCACGGAUUAGCUUCCUGAAAGGGAAGUGACAGGCUUGCCUGGAACGUGCACAGGUGCUGCAUGGCUGUCGUCAGCUCGUGCUGUGAAGUGUCGGGUUAAGUCCCUUAACGAGCGAAACCCCUGUCGUUAGUUGCCAGCAUUCAGUUGGGGACUCUAACGAGACUGCCGGUGUCAAACCGGAGGAAGGUGGGGAUGACGUCAAGUCCUCAUGGCCUUUAUGCCCAGGGCUGCACACGUGCUACAAUGGCAUGGACAGAUCGAAGCAAUGCCGCAAGGUGGAGCAAAUCGCACAAACCAUGCCCCAGUUCGGAUUGUGGUCUGCAA
rnacentral:rRNA from 1 species